rnacentral:lncRNA from 1 species
AAAAAAAGUAUUUUGAAGAAAGUUAGUGGAGCCUCAUAAUCCUUCCACUUGGAUAUUGCAACCUAAGAGCAGAUGAACAGCAAGUCGACGACAAGUUUGUGUUGAAAGUUACAAUGCUUUAAAGGACAUAUGAUCUGCUGUGCUUUUCAAAAUCCCCAAAUAGUUAUCAAUGUUUUUGUUUGUCUUGGAACUGCAAUUUUCUAUGAAAAAAAGCCUGGUUUAGUCAAGAUAAGGGACCAAAACCAUACUAGAUUGCCAACAUUCUUGAGGAAACCCCCAUUGUUCUGCUUUGUGCUUGACAUUGAACUGGGCAGGUGUGUCCACAUAAGGUGCAACAGGGAGGAUUUGCAUGCUGGCUUGCUGAAGUGACAGAAUUGUGCAAAAUAACUGCAGUGGUCUGGCAAGCUUCAGGAAGCAGGUGGAUCUGAGGUACCUGUCUCCA